rnacentral:rRNA from 1 species
GACUACAGGGGUAUCUAAUCCUGUUUGAUCCCCACACUUUCGUGCAUCAGCGUCAAUAAUGGCUUUGUGAGCUGCCUUCGCAAUCGAUAUUCUGUGUGAUAUCUAAGCAUUUCACCGCUACACCACACAUUCCACCCACAGCAACCAUAUUCAAGCCUGACAGUAUCAACGGCACCCUUUCAGUUAAGCUGAAAUAUUUCACCGCUGACUUAUCAAACCGCCUACGCACCCUUUAAACCCAAUAAAUCCGGAUAACGCUUGCAUCCCCCGUAUUACCGCGGCUGCUGGCACGGAGUUAGCCGAUGCUUAUUCGUAUGGUACUCUCAUCAGUCUACGCAUAGACCUUAUUGCUCCCAUACAAAAGCAGUUUACAACCCAUAGGGCCGUCUUCCUGCACGCGGCAUGGCUGGAUCAGAUUUCCAUCCAUUGUCCAAUAUUCCUCACUGCAGCCCCCCGUAGG